UUUAAUUACUCCAAAAUGAAAUCAUUUUCAAAACAAUUCAGGCAGAGAACCAGCAAGAGUAGAAAAACGAGUCUCCAGAAACAGAGUACUUCAAUUGUUUUCUUGUACCCGAGGCAAACAUGUGAGUGAUAGUUAUCAUAUUGCUCAAACAUGAAACAUUUUUCAGAUGAUCACUAAUUACAACAAGAACACCGUUCAUCACAACAGAGUUUGAUCACUCCAAUAGCUUUGCAUCAUAGAGCUGCCCUGGCGCUAUCCUGAGAUCCUAGUGCAUGUACCAACGUGCUAACAUCCAUGUCUUGGGUUGGACCAAAAGAUCCCACCUAAAACGUAAUGCACUUCUCCGACAUGCCAAACCCUCUGAAAUCCAUCCGAGCAACAGCAUCAUGGUCAAUGCCCUCGGGUUCAUUCUGGCCAGCCUGCGCUUUCUGAAACCAUUUUAUAUCCAGUCAUUACUAUGAGCUAGCAGGCAGAGGCAGUUGUUCAUGAGGUUUGAUCUUGAGAAAAACAGCAAAGGUUAAAGGUUGGAGCGAGUUUUGAUGUGGACUCAAAUCCUGCUAAUUAACAAGGUGAAUAUGAUGCACCAGAGAAGCAAGUUGUGAACGAAAAUCCUGAUUGUUGUUUUUAGGGUAAUCCCUCCGUCCCAUAAUAUAAGACCGUUUUUGACAACACUAGUGUAAAAAACACGCUUAUAUUAUGGAACGGAGGGAGUAGUCAUCUGUAAAUGAAAAUAAAAUAAUCACACGUCAAAUUAAAGAUGGUGUCCAGUGUUGAUUUUAUUUAAACUGUUCUCCUAGUCUUUGCUAUCAUUUCCAAGUAAAAGUAACUUCAGGUUAAGGCAGACAACAGCCCAUCUUUUCUUUCAUGGUAAUAUGUGUCUCAUUUAUAUCAUAAAGAUCAAAUUGCAAGUCACGUAAAGACCGACAUGACAAAACUAAAAUGAUAGCAGAACAUCGCUAAGCUUGACACCGACGUCCGUCACCUGCCUCCGACACCACCACAGCAGCCACCAAAGGAAAAAAAUGACGGAUCACCUCCUCACCCGAGCUUCCAUCGCUGAUAUGCAGCUUUGCGGACCUCCAAGGUGGCUCACCAAAGAUGAAGCCAUUGUCGUUGAACAAAUCAGACCGGGGCAACACCCCAGACACGCCAUAAUAAGGUUGCAAAGUUCAAGGUACAGUAAUUUGUGUUGCUUGUGUUAGGAAGAGCAAGAUGCAACUGGCACAGACCAACCUAGACAGUCAAAAGAAAAUACCACGAUUGAAAGUCUGAAUUCAAUCCGAAUUCAACUCGAUUUAGAUAACCCUUGGCACAUGUUAUCCUCUACACGAUAUCCUCAAUGCUUUCCUGAAUCACGUAAGUAUCUGUUUCUCAUGGUCCUGAAUCAUGAAUUUCUAAUAAAACGAAGAGCUAUUGAUAAGAUUUAAUUCAAUAAACUAAGACUUUAGUUUCUUAUAAGCCGAAGAACUGUUUCAUACUUAGGUGAAGAGGUACCUUCGAAAUAUGACUGUUGAUAAAAUCGGCUGUGGUUACUUUAUUUGGCACUGCACCAAUGGUUGCUAGAUUUUGCUGCAUGCCAACUAUGUAGCAUCAGAAGCUUAACUUGCCCAUUACAAAACAAUGGGGGUAACAUCAGGUUUGGCCUCUGCAGUCUGAACCAAAACACCACAUGCAUGUAACACAGGAGAUGCAUCUCCAAUAGAAGAUGCAAAUUUGGAGAUGUAACACAGGAGAUGUUCUCCAAAAAGUGCUUUUUGCAUCUACAUCUUCUAUUGGAGAUGCUCUAAUUAUCAGUGAUGUCUCCCUUGUGUUUAGUAAUAAAAAUCUUUAAGAAAUAUGACAUUAAUGGCAUAUCUCAUGCUUAUUGGUAUGUAGAAUGUAUUCUAUGUUAGAAAACUGCAGCAUAUGCAGCCUAACCUAAUUUGGUCUUGCUAUAAUAAAGAAGACAUUAUUCUACAAAUGCAUCAACCACAAAAAAAAGGCAGCCCGGUGCAUAUAGCUCCCGCUUGCGCAGGGCCGGGGGAAGGGUCCGACCACUUUGGGUCUAUACUACGCAGCCUUUCUUUCUACAUUUCUGUAAGAGUCUGUUUCCAGGACUUGAACCCGUGACCUCAUGGUCACAAGGCAGCAGCUUUACCACUGCGCCAAGGCUCCCCUUCAAUUAGAGGAACAACAUGGAUGACAUAUGUUGAGAAAAUGAGAAACGGAAAGCAAGUUUGAAAGAUGAAAUAUAACCAAAUUAGGAACAACAUGCAGAAUAUCGGUUGGUUCGGGACAUGAAGUAUGGCGCUUCCAUUCUCCAAGAUGUACACGACGGAUGAAAUGAAUGACGAUUGUCCUGCACACACAGAAG
rnacentral:lncRNA from 1 species